rnacentral:misc_RNA from 1 species
UUGAAUCCUCUAAAAGUGGUAUUCAUUAUGGUGCAAACGACUGCCUAUGGGGAUGAGCUCCAGCCUGGUAAAGAGUGAGAUGGUGUAUAGCGUUGGCAAACAAAUCCCUCAACUCAGGAUGUUGAGCUGUCACAGCACGAGCAGCUCCUUCAAGAGCAUUCAAAGCCCUCACUUGUUCAAGAGCCUUGCUAUUUCCAGCAUUCAGUGCAAGGUAACAUAAUAAUAUUAGGCCAUGCACUCGAGCUUGAUCACCGUUCCGUAUCAAUUUCAUCAAAGGCUGAACUCCAUUAAACUCUAUAACAGCUUUUGAAUGUUGGGAGCAAUUGAAAUUAUCCGGAGACACAAAUUUCCCCAAGGCAAUAGCUGCUUCAGUUGCAACAUUCACAUUGCUGUUACCAAGCUGAACAACCAAAGGCCCAACUAUCCUGGUCUCCCUAGCAGGGAA